AGAAAAUGAAGUUGCUCAAAAUCCUCCCUCAAAAAAUUGGGAGGGUUUAAGUAAAAAAAUAAGAUUUGUUUAGAAAAUAUAUCGAGCUUCAAGUAAGUUUUUCUAGUUCGACCCAGUUCAAAUUUGUAAAAGAAAAAAUUUGUUGUUAUUUUUGCAUUGUUUUGCCAUUGUUUUGCUUUCAUUUAACUAUUAUAUUGCUACUAUUUUAUUGUUAUUAUUUGAAAAUUGUAUAACUCUUGUUUUGUUGUUAAUUUUGUUACUAUUUUAGAGGCAUUUGCUUGUUAAGUUGCACCUAGAGGUGCUCAUGGGUUGGGCUGUCCGGCCCGGCCCGAUGGCCCGCCCAAAAUGUGAGAGGGUUCGGGUAAAAAUAUAGGCCCGAAAUAUGGGCUUGGACAAAAAAGAGGCCCGUUUAUCCCAGGCCCGGCCCGGAUAUAAUUAAUAUUUUUUUAAUUUAUUAUUACAUUAUUUUACAUUUCCCAUUUCCCCAACCCCGUGUAUCUGAUAAACCCCUAACCCCUUCCCUCCGGUGUCCGGUCCACGACUCCACCUCCGCUCUAACGGUGCUUCUAGCCUUCAACGUCUUCUACCUUUGAAUUUCAAAGGUGAGUUUGCUGUUAACCCUAUUUCCUGUUAACCCAAUUCGAAGUAGUUUUUUGCUUUUUGAUUUUGAUUGUGAUUUUGAUUUUUGCUGUUAACGGUUUUCUGAUUUUGAUUUUGAGACACUGAAUCUUCGGGGGGAUUUUGAUUGUGUUUACAUAUCGAGGGGGAUUUUGAUUGCGUUUAUUACAUAUUAUUCUUUGCAACAAAAAGAGUGAUUGAGUCCGACUAAAGCGAGUGAGUGAAAGGCGUGGCAAGAGAGCGAGUUCAACUCGCGAACGAUCAGCAAGUGAAGGAAGAAAAUCAUGAUUGUUUUGUUUUUUUUUAGUUCUUUUGCGGAUUAAUGUGAUUGUCUUUUCUUGAAUGAUGAUUGUUCUUUUGUUGCAAAUUUGUUCUUUUAUUAAAACCGAAAAAGGAAGAAAAUCAAUAGAAUUAGAUUUAGGGUUUAUGGAAUCUCUAUACAUGCGUAAAAAGCGAAAACUUGUCAUCCAGAAGAUUGGGGUGAAUCCAAAAUUCAACUUUGUUUGAAUUAAGAAGAAACUGAAUGGUUGGUUUGCAAUUCAAAAAAAAUAGUAUAUUUCAUUGUCGUUGAAUUAAGUUUUGAUUUGGAUAAAAAAACAGAAUUAUUUGAAUCAAUUUUAAUUAAAAACAAUCUUUUUAUUAAAUCAAAUACCAAAUUAUUAUAUUAAACAAAAAUCGUUUUAGGUCAAAUUAUAAUUAUGACCUUCUUCUAUGUUGUUUAAAGCUUAAAAGAUUGGACUGAUGACAUGACAAAAAAUAAUAAUACAGUUUGAUUUUGUCAAGUAUGAGAAAAAACACCAGUUUCUCUUGACCUUGACUUCCAAGUUUAAUGUAAUAAAUGCUCCAAUAACAUAUUCAGACCCACACAACAUUUAUUUGUGUUUAUGUUUUAUAGAGCAUGUAAUUUGUAGGGUUGAGAAUUGAUUUAUGUUUUAUAGAGCAUGUAAUUUGCAGGGUUGAGAUCACAAGCUUAGUUUCUUCAUUUAAUCUCCUUUUUUUUUGUGUUUGCUUUGUUUUACUGCAGAAACAAGCUAUUUAGUGAGGCAGAAAAAACAGCAGGCCCAGGCAGGUUACUAUCACUAUCUCACACCCUUUCCUUCGAAACAAUCAACCUUAGUGACUUUUCAUUUGAAUUUUGUGUGUUUUUUUAGUAUUACUUAAAGACAUGUGACAAAUUUAUCUUGUAUCACAAGGCUAGCAUAGUUAAGGUUUCCAUUGAUUUGGGUCAAGACUAUUAGGGGAAAGGUCUCCAUUGAUUAAGUUGGGUUGAGGUUCGAUGUUAAAGGCUUGUUUAUUUUCUAUAAAGUUGUUAAAAAAACAAUAGUAAAUGGUGGACAACAGGUUCAUUAUUUAUUAAGAAUCAAAACUUAGAGUGUAAUACUACAUCAAUUCUAACAUAAAUUUUAUAGAUAACAUGAAAGCUAUGCACUUUGUUCUUCAAAUAAGUAAUCUUAUUUUAUUUUUUGUUCAUUAUAUACAAAAAAAAUGUAAUUUGAUAUUUGAUAUAAUUUUAAUAACAAUUAGUUUUAAGUAAGUAAGUUAAAAAAAAAAGGGUUGGGUUGGGUUGGGCUCGGGCUUCGUAUUUUUGUCCCAGGCCGGGCCUGGGCCUAGGAAGUGGGCUGA
rnacentral:lncRNA from 1 species